rnacentral:rRNA from 1 species
UACGAGGGGGGCUAGCGUUGUUCGGAAUCACUGGGCGUAAAGCGCACGUAGGCGGAUCUUUAAGUCAGGGGUGAAAUCCCGAGGCUCAACCUCGGAACUGCCUUUGAUACUGGGGAUCUCGAGUCCGGGAGAGGUGAGUGGAACUGCGAGUGUAGAGGUGAAAUUCGUAGAUAUUCGCAAGAACACCAGUGGCGAAGGCGGCUCACUGGCCCGGAACUGACGCUGAGGUGCGAAAGCGUGGGGAGCAAACAGG